rnacentral:sRNA from 1 species
CUGAACCCCCAUUAUUGAGCUCUCCCGCCCUUUGAACCCCUCCAGCUGCUUCCUGCACCUCCCCAGCUCCCCAGAUCUCUUUGUUCUCAACCUCACAAGGCCUUCCUUACCCUUCGCCCGCUUUCUGAUCCCAUCCAAUUGCAAACGCUAUCGCAUCCAAUCAAAACCCCCUCCCCAGCAAGUCAGUUCAUCAUGACAUCAACGACCAAUUGGCACUGCAAACUUAAUUAACCACUUGGAACUUGUUCUCGCCGCGAAUUCAGACAAGAAGAAUCUAUUCUUCCGUACUAAUUCAAGGCAGUACAGUGUAACAGUGUCUAUUAGAAACAAGCAAUUCCUUUUUAUCUCCAUUCCUUGGGCUUCUUUCACCCCCCAGUUUCUGUCUAACCAAGUUGAGCAAUCUGCCAAUAGUGUGCCUGCAUACGGAGUCAGUGCAAUGCAGCCACCUAACCGUGGAAAGUCUGCCAAACCCUCCGUCUUGAAGGAGAGAAUUCCUGGUGAAACCAGUUUUGGUUUCAUUAUCAUUAUAUUAUUAGAUUGAUUUUGGUAUUUGCAACAGGGUUUGGAAAAAAAACUUUGUUUUAAACAGCCAGUGAUCAUGGGUAUUAUAAUUGCUAGAAGUUAUUUCCGCUUCAAUCAAUCUACCUUUCGUUGAUGGCUUUAUAUUUUUUUGUUGUUGUUUAUUUGUUUAUUUCUUGAUUCAUUUCUUUGCAACCCAAGAUUUGCGGAGAUUAAGGAAAAAAAUAAUGCCAUUAUUCAAGUCAUCUGAGUUGUGAGGUGGGAAAUACCAUUUUUAACCUGACCCCAAGCAACUCUCUCCAAAUAGAAGUAAAUAGAACCCUUUGUCCCCUAAAGAUGUGAAAUGGGGCUGGGCUGGGUAGAAAUGGCCCUCAAGACCGGUAAAAACCUCUCGCCCAGCAC